AAUACGCAUGCGUGACUUAAAAUUUUUUUUAUAAAGCAUAACAAAUAACAAGUAAUAAUAGCAUAACAAAUAACAAGUAAAGACUUAAAAAGUUAGUUAUUAGCCCAAUAAAAACAAGUAAAGUCCCACAUGCUAAUAAAUUGGGCCAUCUGUCGCCUUUUUUUAAGGUUUUGAAUUUGACAAUUUAACAAUAAUACAUGGCUUAACUUGUGAUGCAGUUAGUCAGUUGAAAAAGUAUAUUAGGGCAAGCAAAAUGUUUAUUCGAGCUGUUUGGAUAGAAAAUAC